UACGUAGGGGCCUAGCGUUGUCCGGAUUUAUUGGGCGUAAAGAGCUCGUAGGCGGUUCGGUAAGUCAGGUGUGAAAUCUCCACGCUCAACGUGGAGGCGCCACCUGAAACUGCCGUGACUCGAGUCCGGUAGGGGAGUGUGGAAUUCCCGGUGUGAGCGGUGAAAUGCGCAGAUAUCGGGAGGAACACCGGUGGCGAAGGCGGUUCUCUGGGCCUUACCUGACGCUGAGGAGCGAAAGCGUGGGGAGCGAACAGG
rnacentral:rRNA from 1 species